rnacentral:lncRNA from 1 species
CACACAUGACCGUCAGCCUGCCUGGUGAGGUCUCUAGAUAACUAUGAUGAUGCAGUGGGGGAUAUAAAAGCAAGAUGAAAGAAAGCUGGUGCUAGAACUAUGUAAAAAAUGGCAUGAAAAAUCAGAAAUACAACAAACACUUCCUCAAGUAAAACCUGACUCACCUAUUUCCUGAGGCAGGCAUGGGCAGAAAGGAGGAAAAAGUGGCUUUGGUGAGCUUAGGUAUCAUGCCGGAUUUCCUGCACAUUUUCGUGAAGACCAUCUAGAAGCCCAUGCCUGCUUAUAACUGGCGAGAUGGGAUUAUGGCUUGUCAAGCAGCAGAACACACCCAGUGUCUCCUCUCCUACAGAGCGUCUGCUGCUAUGGACAUGUGCUGCCCUGGGAAAAGUCCACUGAAGGUGGAUGAUGCAGAUGAAAAGGCUACUUCACUUUUGGAAGCUGCCUAAUUCACUUCCAGGAGCAAACUUUUUGAUCGGUAGGAUAUGACUCAGUAAUGCUGAUUGAAUUGGCUUCUCACUGUAUUUGUCAAGGCUGGAACAGACGAUGGCACUGCAGAAUCUUAUGUGCACAGAAGAAAUCUACAGACAUUCAAUGAGGGGAGGAUUUCGUUCCAUCAGAUGGGCUUCCUGACAUAAUUGCAAAGACACAUGAAGACUCAACGAUUUAUCUCCCAUCAACCUCUUCUUAGUUAAUAUCAGCCCAUGUGCUCCAAGAAAACCAGAGGAAAUAUCAAGAAAGAAGAAAACAUGAGACCCUGAAAAUAAAAACCUCAACCCAGAAGUGUAGGAACGUGGGAAAUGAGUGCGUAGUGUGCCUGCAGGGCUUGGACCUCGUGCCCUUGGAGCUAGGAACACGGUGCUUUUGGGAUUCUCUUUCUAUCCCCUAGAUGGCAGCAACAUUCUUUAGAGCCUAACUGGAACUUUCUUCUGAUUUGUUCCAAACACUCCCCACACUCGGAGAGCAUUCCAGUGAAGUGGGUGGAGAAGGAAACAGAUGUGAGACCAGAUGCAGAUCUGAACAAAUUUGUUAGGUCCUGAAUUUCUACUGAUCACAGUAGCUGAUGAGAAAUGUCUGUGGCAUAGUAGCAAGUCUCUCUGAACAAUUUAGAAUGGACGUUCAUAAAUUAAGGGCAUAGAUGUCAAAACUGUCAUUCUCUGCCUAUGAGAUGGAGAAAGCUGAUUUUAUCAGGAG